rnacentral:misc_RNA from 1 species
AAUUUAUCCUUGAUUUUCUUUCUGGGUCAGAAUUUUCCCUCGGAAUCAAUAUUUGAUACUUCCCUUUUCUUUUCAUCUGGGUAUAUCUAAGAUUUCGAAAUGGGCAAAAAUCAAGCCUACAAAGCUAUGCAGAGAGCGAGACUUGGCUCGAGCUCUGCCGGGCCCGAAGAGAUCGAAGAUGGCAUGGUGGAUGGUUCUUUUCAUUCACCAGAGUGGCAUGCUGCUCGUUUGGCCAGCCUUAAAACUUCUCACACAGUUACCUGGGAAGAGUUCAAGAGAAAGCAAAAGGAGGAUGAAAUGAAAAGGGGGGAAUUGGAAGCUGAUACAGAUAGAAUGAUGCGAGAGUACAGAGCUCAACUUGAUGCUGAAAGGGCACGAAAACUUGCUCAUGGAAGGAACCACUCUAGCAAGUCUAAUCAUAAAAGGGAUAGAAAGGACAAAGAUUUAAAGAAACGCAGUAGCAGGAAGAGAAAGCAUUCAAGGCAGAGAUCAUCAGAUUCUAGCUCAUCAAGUUCAUCUUCGGAUUCUUCGAGUAGUGAUGAUGAGGAGAGAGAAUCAAGAAGAUCAAAGUCCAGGUCAAAGAGAACAAAGAAG